GCAUUGUUUUUUCAUUUUGUAUGAAAAAAAAUAAGAUGACGUGGCAACUUCAGAUUCUCUGAUUGGUUGAUUUUCCUAUCCUACAUGGACACCCUUCUCAUGGCUUAUAUUGGCCUUUUAGUAUUGUAUUAGGGGCGAGGCUCCACGCAAGCGCGGGGUUAUGGAUGUUGUGGGGGCAUAAGUUGGGAGGUGUAGGUGUAUUCUUGAUAUACUUGAGGAGGACUUGUAGACAACAU
rnacentral:lncRNA from 1 species